GACAGAGGGUGCAAACGUUGUUCGGAAUUACUGGGCGUAAAGCGCGUGUAGGCGGCCCUGCAAGUCGGAUGUGAAAUCCCACGGCUCAACCGUGGAAGUGCAUUCGAAACUGCAGGGCUAGAGUCCUGGAGAGGAAGGUGGAAUGCUUGGUGUAGAGGUGAAAUUCGUAGAUAUCAAGCAGAACACCUGCGGCGAAGGCGGCCUUCUGGACGAUGACUGACGCUGAGACACGAAAGCGUGGGGAGCAAACAGG
rnacentral:rRNA from 1 species